GUGCUUGCUUCGGCAUCACAUAUAGAUAAAAAUUGGAAUGAGACAGAGAAGAUUAGCACGGUCUCUGUGCAAAGAUGACAUACAAAUUCAUGAAGUGUUCAUAUUAAAA